UUCUUUUAUUUUGAUUGGUCAAUCAAACGAUAUACGUAAAAUUUACGUUAUUUUACGUAGAAAAACGAGAGAUGAGUUUCGAUCGGAUUUUAAAAGACCGAUUUGUUAUAUAAUAAAUCGUUUGAAAAAAUAAUCCGUGUAUUAUUUGAGAAUAAUUCUACGAUUUGAAUCUAUUGACGAGUGUAAAUCGUUCAAGCAUUUUCGCUAAUCGCUAUAUACAGAUAUAGUAGAGCGAAAGUAAAUGUGAAGGUGAACAACUAUUGCAUGAUAAAAAAUGCAAUCGCCUAAUGUAAAAAAGUCAUUUAUACAAAAGAGCGUCACCUACUACGUCAUGUUACCACUAAUCGUAGGACUUCACAUAGGUUGGUUUAAAUUGCAACAAAGUUAUGUGCCAGUGGAUGAAAGACAUGAGCAUCCUUUAAUGAAAUUAUAUAAGAAGUAUACUACGACUAUUAUUUCCACGGGGUAGAGCGUCUUCGAGAGGAGUAAGUGUUUGCGGUGUUGGAAGAGUAAUGCCGGUAAAGAAUUCGUUCUGCUGAAAGAUAGCCAUGUGUCGUGGUAAGAGAUCGCCCAGCGUUCUUCUUAUUAAAUACAACUGAUCUACAUCGGAUUUGCCCGGCCAUAAUGCUUCGCCCCGUAUUAAUUCCGCAAACACGCAACCGAUCGCCCAGACGUCGACCGGAGUCCCGUAUUGUGUGUCUCCGACCUGUUCCGGAAGAAAACACGAUGAUUUGGAUUUCUCGUCGUCUUGAGUUUCGCCCCUUACGGUGAACGUAACGAAAUAUUUUUUGGUACGAUCUAAUUUCUCAGUCGGAAGAGCGAUCACCUGUUUUUCCUCUCCAUGCGUCACUUCUACCUAAAGGAAAAGGAAAAAGAGAACGUCACACAUGAAACUUUACUUCUGUCAAAGAUCUGGAACUGGUCUAUGGAAAACUAUUUAUGAUGACUAGUCGUCUACCUUGCCAGAGCCAAUAUGGCCUCCACGCUACCCGCGCUCGCCGCCCACAAGAUCGGCUGUCGUCCAUCCUCGUCCUUCGCGUUUACAUCCGCUCCGAAUUCCAGGAGCGUUUGCAGCACCUUCAAGCCGACCUUUUUGGGAACCGCGAGCUCGGCUGUUGCGGCCGCACCGCAACAUUGGGCAGCGUAAUGAAGCGGAGAACCACCGCGUAAAUCGGGUGUCGAAGGUUGCGCACCAGCUGCCAAAACUAAUCGAGCGCACUCCGCUUCUCCGCAGACUGAAAAUUAUUUUUAUAUCAAUUAUUAUUUUGUAAGAUAUUUUAAGGACUGCGAAAGGAGAGAAAAUAUAAGAGGAUAACAGUGACGGUGCUGUCGCUCGUAAGAGUUUUCCUUUAGUUUUUUAAUAUCAAUUUUUCUUCGGUAUGGCGAGCUAAAUUAAAAAUAUAAUAUAAAUUUCAUUUGAAAUAUAUUAGCUUAGGAUUAAGCGAUUGUUUCGAUCUUAGUCUCUUACGCAAACGAUGCAAUUUAUUUAGGACACGGUGUUCCCUUUUAGAAGGUCAAAUUGUCCGCGGUCGUAUAUUAAACUCCCUUAGGUGACGGGUGAAAUGCAGAGCGCAUAUCAUUCCCUCCGAUCUUCGGGGAAAUGAUGGCGUGUAGUGGUCAAGUAAGGUCAGUAGGUCGUUCCGGAUGACGUCACUUCGGUCUGUUAACGAUCACGCGAGAGGACGUAUUAUCGCGAUCAUUUUCACAAGUUGUUAGUUUUAUUCUCAAAUUAUUUGUAUUCACUAUGUAAUCCAAAUUUACAAAUGCAUGCAAAAGUAUUUCUUCAUUUAAAAACUUCGACGGAUCUAAAAUAGCGGAUGUAUAUAAUUUAACGAUCAAAAAUUUAAAAGAAUUGUGAAUUAUUUUCAGGAUCUUAUAGAAUAAUCUUUAAGAAAUCGAAAUUUGAUAUCAUAAGAUAAAAAUUAUAAAAAAUAAGAUAAAAAUUCCAAGGCAAAUUUACACAGUAUAAUAUGGCAAUAAAUAUAAGUCAUCCACUAUCUUGAAGAACAUAUAUUUGCUACAAUGUAAAGUACCGAUCUGAUGCGGGUUGAUUAUGAUAAUUCUUCUGACAUAUUUGCCUAGUCUAAAUAUAUCAGAUAUGAAAGUUAGAAGUACCGGUGGCCCAAUGAAGAACGCUAUGUCCUUCGUUAUCUUUGGCGUUAACAUCGGCACCGUUCGCCAAGAGAAUCGCGACCAGCUGGGUGUCACCGGCGAUAACCGCCAGGUGAAGUGGCGUGUGACCUUCGGCAUCCGGGGCGUUCACCAAUUCCGGUGCCGCCGCGGCGACCGCACCUCCGGUUCCCGCGUCCAUGCAAUAAUGAAGAGCGUUUCUUAGCGUGCGAUCUCUGUAAGCAAUCGUUUCCUCCUGUUCCUUCAGUAAUCUCAAUACUCUCGCUCUGUCGCCCUGUUGACAGGCGUGCAUCAAAGGCGUAGCGCCAAUGUGUAGAACUCUGAAACAGCGAAUGUUUCUCUCUUAAGUGCGAAAAACAAAGAAAACUUUCAGAAAGUCAAAAACUACUUUUGUAUGAACUAGCUCAAAUAGCAAACUGACGUCAUUAAACGUCUAAUAUAACAUCAUUCGACGUCAAAAUGACGUGUAUAACUUUGAAACAGCAAGUGUUUCUCCCUUAAGUACAAAAAACAAAGAAAGUUUUCAGAAAGUCAAAACUACUUUUGUAUGAACCAGCCCAAAUAGCAAACUGACAUCAUUAAACGUCAAAAUGACGUGAAAUGAUGUCAUUAAACGUCAAAAUGAGGUACGCUUGCUACCUGGGAAUAAGUGGAACCGUCUUGUAUUACCUAUCAGCGGCAAUCAUUUAAAUUUCGCGUGGAACGUCAAAUAGAUUGACUUGCAGAUAAAAAUAGAGAGGCAAAUUUAAGCGGAAUCAAUAUCGAACGACGGUGGACAAUACUAUAUUACUUGUAGGAUCUCUUCUUGCGAUGAUCCUGAUGCGAUCUGUCCUUCCGAUGAUUCGAAUGCGGUGUCAGUGGGGGCAAGGACACGUCGGCGACACGUUUCGUUCUUUUCUGAGGCUGAGGUUUCUCCUGCGGCUUCUGCGGGAUUGGCGGUGUCUUAGUGUCCAUGCCCGUCUUUGGCACCUACCCGCGAAGGCAUCCUCGGACCUCUCGACGGAUCGAAGUCAUCGCGUCGAAGAGAACGCCCAAUUCUUUUUUACUCGAGUAAAACUAUAGGAGCUUACAAGAAAUUCAUGUAAACAUUUUAUUGUGAACUUACAGGGUGAUACUUUUAAAACUUUAAAUGAUUAUAAGUGCUAUAUAAGCAGGGUGUAAAAUAUGUAAUUAAGAUAUAUGAUAAAGAUAGAAGAUAAUUAACAGUUUUUGAUAUUAUCUGAACGUUUCAAGCAACACGAUGCAAUAAUAAAUAGAUCUAAGAAUGAAAAUGAAAAUAUCGAUUUAAAUGAGUGCGAGCGCGGAGAAGACAGGUCGCUAUGAGAUAUCUAGUUAGAUCCGUAUUCUAAAGUGUGUAGCCCCAUUAAAGUACGACCCAAAUUUUCGAUUCUAAAUCAAAGUUGACCACGUGGUGAAUUGACCAGGUCACUCGCUACCAUAGAAACCAAUGGUCACAACACGCGGCUACCUCUAUAAAGAACCAUAUAAUGACUGAUACCACACGGCAAGGUCGCCACGUGUCGAAUUCUAAUCUUCACUUGGCGUGAAUCCUCCCGCGAGCCGUCAAGAAACUGAUUACUUAAAAUACCAGGCUAUUUAACCUCGGUGUAUGCAUAGCGUGGAUCUUAUAGCCUCGGCGACGUAAAUGGAGUAAAAGUUUUAUCAUUCCUUUUUCUGAAAUCUCCAAAUCAUUUAACUUCCCUUGCUUGUAUAAUAUGCGUAGAUAUUUUAGAUUAUCAAAGUCAAAAAUGUGUGUAAAUUGUUCUUAUUAUAAAUCAAAAUUAAUGUUUGUUAAAAUUUAAUAACACAUAUGCAAAUAUUUUUAGAUGUUACAUAAAAAGAAAGUGUAUAGGUAUAUACUAAGCUUAAAAUUUUAAUGUGGGUAUCUCGCAAUUUUUGA